AAUGAACGUUGGCGGCGUGGAUUAGGCAUGCAAGUCGUGCGGAAAGGCUCCUUCGGGAGUACUCGAGCGGCGAAAGGGAGAGUAACGCGUGGAUAUCUACCCCCCGGACUGGGACAGCGGCGGGAAACUGCCGGUAAUACCAGAUAAUGUCUGCGGACCAAAGGUGUGAUUCCGCCGGGGGAUGAGUCCGCGUCCUAUUAGCUAGUUGGUGGGGUAACGGCCUACCAAGGCAAAGAUGGGUACCGGGUGUGAGAGCAUGGCCCGGCUCACUGGGACUGAGACACUGCCCAGACACCUACGGGUGGCUGCAGUCGAGAAUCUUCGGCAAUGGGCGAAAGCCUGACCGAGCGACGCCGCGUGCGGGAUGAAGGCCUUCGGGUUGUAAACCGCUGUCAGAGGGGAGGAAAUGCAUGAGGGUUCUCUCUCAUGUUUGACCUAUCCUCAGAGGAAGUACGGGCUAAGUUCAUGCCAGCCGCCGCGGUAAAAC
rnacentral:rRNA from 1 species